rnacentral:rRNA from 1 species
GACGAACGCUGGCGGCGUGCCUAAUACAUGCAAGUAGAACGCUGAAGGAGGAGCUUGCUCUUCUGGAUGAGUUGCGAACGGGUGAGUAACGCGUAGGUAACCUGCCUGGUAGCGGGGGAUAACUAUUGGAAACGAUAGCUAAUACCGCAUAAGAGUAGAUGUUGCAUGACAUUUACUUAAAAGGUGCAAUUGCAUCACUACCAGAUGGACCUGCGUUGUAUUAGCUAGUUGGUGGGGUAACGGCUUACCAAGGCGACGAUACAUAGCCGACCUGAGAGGGUGAUCGGCCACACUGGGACUGAGACACGGCCCAGACUCCUACGGGAGGCAGCAGUAGGGAAUCUUCGGCAAUGGACGGAAGUCUGACCGAGCAACGCCGCGUGGGUGAAGAAGGGUUUCGGAUCGUAAAGCUCUGUUGUAAGAGAAGAACGAGUGUGAGAGUGGAAAGUUCACACUGUGACGGUAUCUUACCAGAAAGGGACGGCUAACUACGUG